rnacentral:rRNA from 1 species
GUGAACGCUGGCGGUAGGCCUAACACAUGCCAGUCGAACGGCAGCACAGUAAGAGCUUGCUCUUACGGGUGGCGAGUGGCGGACGGGUGAGGAAUACAUCGGAAUCUACUUUUUCGUGGGGGAUAACGUAGGGAAACUUACGCUAAUACCGCAUACGACCUACGGGUGAAAGCAGGGGAUCUUCGGACCUUGCGCGAUCGAAUGAGCCGAUGUCGGAUUAGCUAGUUGGCGGGGUAAAGGCCCACCAAGGCGACGAUCCGUAGCUGGUCUGAGAGGAUGAUCAGCCACACUGGAACUGAGACACGGUCCAGACUCCUACGGGAGGCAGCAGUGGGGAAUAUUGGACAAUGGGCGCAAGCCUGAUCCAGCCAUACCGCGUGGGUGAAGAAGGCCUUCGGGUUGUAAAGCCCUUUCGUUGGGAAAGAAAAGCAGCAGGUUAAUACCCCGCUGUUCUGACGGUACCCAAAGAAUAAGCACCGGCUAACUUCGUG